UGGCGCACGGGUGCGUAACACGUAGAUAAUCUACCCUCAACUGGGGAAUAACUCUUUGAAAGGGGAGCUAAUACCGCAUAUUCUUAUUGAUCGGCAUCGGUUAAUACGGAAAGAUUAAUUGGUUGGGGAUGAGUCUGCGUCUGAUUAGCUAGUUGGUAGGGUAAGAGCCUACCAAGGCUACGAUCAGUAGGGGUUCUGAGAGGAAGGUCCCCCACAUGGCCACUGAGAUACGGGGCCAACUCCUACGGGAGGCAGCAGUAGGGAAUAUUGGGCAAUGGGCGAGAGCCUGACCCAGCCAUGCCGCGUGUCGGAAGAAACAGCUCUGCUGCGUAAACGACUUUUAUCAGGGAGGAAAAAGGGGAUGCGUCCCUUAUUGACAGUACCUGAGGAAUAAGCACCGGCUAACUCCGUGCCAGCAGCCGCGGUAAUACGGGGGGUGCAAGCGUUGUCCGGAUUUAUUGGGUUUAAAGGGUGCGUAGGCGGCUGGUUAAGUCCGGGGUGAAAGCGAGUGGCUCAACCAUUCAAGGGCCCUGGAUAC
rnacentral:rRNA from 1 species